GUGGAUAGAAAGAGAGAAGGAAGGAAGAAGUUCGCUGAAAGAAUUCUAUAGAGAACACUGUGAAAUUCUACGAGACAGAGAGAAAAGUGUAAGAGAAAAAUGAGAUGAAGUGCAAUUUUUUUGUAGGAUUUGUUACUCAGAGUGACUCUUUCGGGGUGCAGAAAUAUAUAAUUCAGCAAGAAGAGAGGUGUUAAAAUGCAGUGGAAACACACACUUGUGUGUGAAAAUUCACAAAUGCUGGAGAGCCAGAGCAUUGGCAAUGCUGCACUUCUCGCAUCAUUGAGUCAAAAAAACUGCGGUGAAGAGAGGUGAAAAGACAGAGAGAGAAAACGUGGCAUAAAAAGAAAUGUUUGCCGGCCGGCUGGUGGUCGAAAUGACGCGCCAAGAAUCGUACGAUUAUUUUGGGGAUCUUCCAAGAAAGUGGGAAAGAGACGGCGUGUGUGGCAGAGAAACCCAAGAAGCGUGUAAUAAAGUGAAGGAAAAACAGCAUGAAAGAGUGGAAGGUAGAGGAGGAAUGAAGGAAAGACG